AAAGAUUAAGCCAUGCAUGUGUCAGUACGAGCCUUCCUUAGUGUGAAACCGCAAACGGCUCAUUAAAUCAGUCAUAAUUUACUGGAUGUCGGUUAUCCGUUUACUCGGAUAACUGUGGCAAUUCUAGAGCUAAUACGUGCAACUGAGCUCCGACACCCAGCCGAUAUUCGCGCGGCGAGUCUCCGACUCGUCGCGGGCUCUGUCGGUUCGGGCGGAAGGGCGCAAUUAUUAGAAUCACAAACCGAGCGGGCUUCCGGGCCCGUCCAUUAACCGUUUCGGUUGUGAUGACUCUGGAUAAUCUUGCCGAGCGAUGAGGCCUUAGCGCCGACGCUGCGUCCUUCGAGAGACUGCCUUAUCAGCUUUCGAUCGUAGGUUAGACGCCUACGAUGGCUGUAACGGGUAACGGGGAAUCAGGGUUCGAUUCCGGAGAGGGAGCCUGAGAAACGGCUACCACAUCUAAGGAAGGCAGCAGGCACGCAAAUUACCCACUCCUGGCUCUGGGAGGUAGUGACGAUAAAUAACGAUGCGGGACUCAUCCGAGGCCUCGCAAUCGGAAUGAGAUCAGUCUAAACCUUUGGACGAGGAUCCAUUGGAGGGCAAGUCUGGUGCCAGCAGCCGCGGUAAUUCCAGCUCCAAUAGCGUAUAUUAAAGUUGUUGCGGUUAANNNNNNNNNNNNNNNNUUUAGAGUGCUNAAAGCAGGCAAAAUUUCACGCCUGAAUGUAUAUGCUUAGGAUGAAGGAACAGGACCUCGGUUCUGCGAUUAUUUUUCUCUCGGUUUUUUCCGAACCCGAGGUAAUGAUUAACGGGAGCGGACGGGGGCAUUGGUAUUGCGACGCGAGAGGUGAAAUUCUAAGACCGUCGCAAGACUAACUACUGCGAAAGCAUUUGCCAAGAACGCUUUCAUUAAUCAAGAACGAAAGUUAGAGGAUCGAAGGCGAUCAGAUACCGCCCUAGUUCUAACCUUAAACGAUGCCAACUAGCGAUCCGCUUAAGUCAUUCCCACGACUGAGCGGGCAGCCCCUGGGAAACCAAAGUUUUUGGGUUCCGGGGGAAGUAUGGUUGCAAAGCUGAAACUUAAAGGAAUUGACGGAAGGGCACCACCAGGAGUGGAGCCUGCGGCUUAAUUUGACUCAACACGGGAAACCUCACCAGGCCCAGACACCGGAAGGAUUGACAGAUUGAGAGCUCUUUCUCGAUUCGGUGGUUGGUGGUGCAUGGCCGUUCUUAGUUGGUGGAGCGAUCUGUCUGGUUAAUUCCGAUAACGAACGAGACUCUACCCUAUUAACUAGUCGGUAGAUCGUUUCCCGAGUCGGGUUCCCCUUUCGCGGAGGGUUUCGGCGCGCGGGGUACGGCGGGCUCUCUCUUUUUCGGCUCUUGCCGCUUUGCGGGAAAAACGGCGCGCGCGCGCUCGCGCGAUCCAACUUAUUAUUAUUUAUCAGCUGCUUACGUAGUUGAUGAUGGUGGUGAGAAGGGUCGUGCGUGUUGCGUGUGUCGUCGGAGUAACUCGUAAACGUGGCUUUGUCGRAGGGGGAGGGUUCGUUCCCGCGUUUUGCUUUCUUUCCGCGGAGGGCCCGGCGAGGGGCGUCUAUCGCAAUAUCUUCUUAGAGGGAUCAGCGGUUUCCAGCCGCACGAGAGAGAGCAAUAACAGGUCUGUGAUGCAA
rnacentral:rRNA from 1 species